GCAUCAGACUGCCCCUGUUGGAGGCGGUCACCCCUAUGGCCAUCUGCAAGACAGUCAGAUGAACAUCCUAUUUUUAACAGGAGUAAAUCAGCAACUUCCAGAUUAGGGUAAGCAUCCAGACAUCCCCAUAUUCUAGCUCUAAGGCCUGCGUGGACCCAUUUGCCAAGGUAAUUUAACUGCAGACUUCACCUCGGAACUGUGUAAUCUAUAUAUUGCUUACAGACUGUGAUGUCCCAACCUCUUCUGAAGCCUGUCCCCUGAAUGUCCUUCCAAUGCACUUCUUGGUUCAGAGGAACAGACUGCUCUUUCAGACAAGUUUACGAUAUUAUGUAUGACUGCUGCACUUGAAUGGAUGUGUCCUUAGCACAAACUCCACGCAUACUUGUUUUUUCAAUAGGACGGUAGUGUAUCUACAAGACAGAUGGGUGGAUCCCGAGAAGGUGGAGUUUAAUACCAGUGUGUGUGAUGGAGUCUUGGCCCAUGCCAUGGUGGUUUUAGGUUGUUUUCAGCAGCAGGAGGCUGACUGACUGCGACUUAGAGGAUGCCACUGAGGCAGUUGUACUUUGGGAGCUCCCAUCAACCACUAAGAAUAAGGUAGUGUAAUUGUAGUGUAAAGCUACUUUCAUCCUAAGUUGUGACUCUCAUUUUUUCCGUUUUAAUGUUGGUAGAAUAUAUAUCAGAUUCCAGGGAGUGCAAAGCAAGAUUUUGCAGCAUUAUCUACCCCUGCUGGUUUUAGAUCUGAGAUCAAUAAGCCUGUCACUGGAACAGGGAUUUUGGAACCUUAUCUUGCUUUCCUUUAUUGUUAGCCCUUCACACUACUCUGCAGUGCCAGUUGUCACUAGGUGACAUCCUUUUCAAACUCUCACCUGUGUCACUUCAGUCUUAACUGUACUCACAGGAGGGAGGGACAUUUAAGUCUUACUCAAAAGUCUCCUUGGAGACACUACAGAAGUGUACUUUUAAAAGUCUUGGCUGUGCUUAAGUUACUUCAGAUAAUGUCAUUUUUCUGCAAUAAUGUGAGGAAAAAAAACUCUACACUCCUAACUGGCAUAGCUGUGCUGGUGAACAAGCAAAAAUACUCUUUAUUUGCUGAUGUAGCUUAUUUUGUUCAACAAAUCUAACAUUGUUUGGUAAAAAGAAAAAAAUCAUCUUACCAGCAUAACUGACAUCCUUAUUAGUAAUGUAAUGAUCACAUCAGCAACUUUUGACGGCAGAUUAGACCUUAAUGACACACUUCAAGCACUCAAGUUCAAAAUUUAUUAGAGCUAAAUCAAACAUUAAGUAAACUUGUUGCUGAUUUUAUGACAUAUUAAAUAGAAUCUUUUAUUUGUAGUUUAGGAUAGUCUUAAUAAGCUUUACUCUGCAUAUAACAGAGACUUUUCAUAACCUUACACCAUCCAUUCCAUGGAGUUCUCAAUACUGUGCUACUGUGUAUGCUGAAGAAUUAAUAUUGUGUUUAUUCCUAGGAUAAACCUGUUCCCCUUGCUGACUUGUACUCCAAUGAUUGAUAAAAAAGUCUUGAUACAUAUGUCCUAUUCUAUGCUUCUGUGGUAUUUAAUAUGAUUUGAGAACAUAUUAUUACACAGUUCAGUUGGUAAAGUGGUGGUGUUCCAGAGACUGAUACAAUACAGUAGUGACAUUAAAACAUGACAUUAGAUAACUGAUCUCCAUCUCUAAUUUAAUCCAAAAGUUCCUGUUUACCAAGGAGGGUCUUUUUUUUCUGCAGUAGUUGUUAGUAAUGUGAAUUUAUACAAUUACUCAAUUAUAGUAAUAAUAUUAAUAAAGAUUUAUGUCAAAGCUACUGUAACAGACUUUCUUGCCAUUUCAAUCUAUCAUAUGUAAGCUUCUACAUCUCCCAUUUUCUUUCCGGAAAGAAAAAAAAAAAGGUAUAAUAUCUGUCAGAAGCAAAAGAUUUCCUUAGAAUCCACAAGUUUGUCGGAUGCAAUGACUCUGGGGGCUAUUUUCUCUCUCCUCAAAAAUAAGUAAAAUGUGUAUGUGUUUCCAAUCUGCACUUAAAAUACAUAAUUCUGUGACUUUUUCUGAUCUACUAGGGCUUCUCUGUACUCACAUUAAUGUAUUUAUUGUAUAUAAUGCAAAGGUUUUUUCUGGUCUAAUACUGCUGUUUCCAUAAACUCCAUGUUAAGUGAAAAUGAUAGAUAUAGCGAGAGAGAUAAAUACAGUACCAUCAUAAAAAAUACACCAAAACACUUGAAGGAAUUUUCUGAUCACACUGUAUUGCAUAACUGACCAUCUACAGAAGGGGAAGUUUUCAUAUUUCUUUAAAGUGUCUUCAUGACAGGCUGGCUUGAGUGGUGGCAAACAGCUAUGGGUCUAAGUAGGGUCUAAUGGGUCUAAUAAAUGAACUGACAGUCAUUUAGAACUGACUUGCAUUUCCUGAAACAGUUCAUCCUGGUCAUUUAUUUCA